AGUCCUGUCCUGUCUACCUACUGUCUGUCCUGUCCUGUGGUGGGAGGACAGUGAUGU
rnacentral:pre_miRNA from 1 species